AGAGUCUCUCAGUCUUUUGGCUAAGAUCAAGUGUAGUAUCUGUUCUUAUCAGUUUAAUAUCUGAUACUUUGUCUAUUCUUUUGAUUCUUAUUUUUUGGGGGGGAGGGUCACACCCGACAGCACUCAGGGGUUACUCCUGGCUCUACACUCAGAAAUUGCUCCUGGCAGGUUUGGAGAACCAUAU